GUUAUAUGGUCAAGUGAAGAAGCGCAUACGGUGGAUGCCUUGGCAGUCAGAGGCGAUGAAAGACGUGGUAGCCUGCGAAAAGCUUCGGGGAGUCGGCAAACAGACUGUGAUCCGGAGAUAUCUGAAUGGGGGAACCCAGCCAUCAUAAGAUGGUUAUCUUGUACUGAAUACAUAGGUGCAAGAGGCGAACCAGGGGAACUGAAACAUCUAAGUACCCUGAGGAAAAGAAAUCAACCGAGAUUCCCUUAGUAGUGGCGAGCGAACGGGGACCAGCCCUUAAGUUGUAUUGAGAUUAGCGGAACACUCUGGAAAGGGUGGCCAUAGUGGGUGAUAGCCCUGUACGCGAAAAUCCCUUUGCAAUGAAAUCGAGUAGGACGGGGCACGAGAAACCUUGUCUGAAUAUGGGGGGACCAUCCUCCAAGGCUAAAUACUACUGACUGACCGAUAGUGAACCAGUACCGUGAGGGAAAGGCGAAAAGAACCGCGGAGAGCGGAGUGAAAUAGAUCCUGAAACCGUAUGCGUACAAGCAGUGGGAGCCCACUUUGUUGGGUGACUGCGUACCUUUUGUAUAAUGGGUCAGCGACUUAUUUUCAGUGGCAAGCUUAACCGAAUAGGGGAGGCGUAGCGAAAGCGAGUCUUAAUAGGGCGUCUAGUCGCUGGGAAUAGACCCGAAACCGGGCGAUCUAUCCAUGGGCAGGUUGAAGGUUGGGUAACACUAACUGGAGGACCGAACCGACUACCGUUGAAAAGUUAGCGGAUGACCUGUGGAUCGGAGUGAAAGGCUAAUCAAGCUCGGAGAUAGCUGGUUCUCCUCGAAAGCUAUUUAGGUAGCGCCUCAUGUAUCACUGUAGGGGGUAGAGCACUGUUUCGGCUAGGGGGUCAUCCCGACUUACCAAACCGAUGCAAACUCCGAAUACCUACAAGUGCCGAGCAUGGGAGACACACGGCGGGUGCUAACGUCCGUCGUGAAAAGGGAAACAACCCAGACCGUCAGCUAAGGUCCCAAAGUCAUGGUUAAGUGGGAAACGAUGUGGGAAGGCUUAGACAGCUAGGAGGUUGGCUUAGAAGCAGCCACCCUUUAAAGAAAGCGUAAUAGCUCACUAGUCGAGUCGGCCUGCGCGGAAGAUGUAACGGGGCUCAAACCAUGCACCGAAGCUACGGGUAUCAUCUUUUGAUGAUGCGGUAGAGGAGCGUUCUGUAAGCCUGUGAAGGUGAGUUGAGAAGCUUGCUGGAGGUAUCAGAAGUGCGAAUGCUGACAUGAGUAACGACAAUGGGUGUGAAAAACACCCACGCCGAAAGACCAAGGUUUCCUGCGCAACGUUAAUCGACGCAGGGUUAGUCGGUCCCUAAGGCGAGGCUGAAAAGCGUAGUCGAUGGAAAACAGGUUAAUAUUCCUGUACUUCUGGUUAUUGCGAUGGAGGGACGGAGAAGGCUAGGCCAGCCUGGCGUUGGUUGUCCAGGUUUAAGGUGGUAGGCUGAGAUCUUAGGUAAAUCCGGGAUCUUAAGGCCGAGAGCUGAUGACGAGUGUUCUUUAGAACACGAAGUGGUUGAUGCCAUGCUUCCAAGAAAAGCUUCUAAGCUUCAGGUAACCAGGAACCGUACCCCAAACCGACACAGGUGGUUGGGUAGAGAAUACCAAGGCGCUUGAGAGAACUCGGGUGAAGGAACUAGGCAAAAUGGCACCGUAACUUCGGGAGAAGGUGCGCCGGUGAGGGUGAAGCAUUUACUGCGUAAGCUCAUGCCGGUCGAAGAUACCAGGCCGCUGCGACUGUUUAUUAAAAACACAGCACUCUGCAAACACGAAAGUGGACGUAUAGGGUGUGACGCCUGCCCGGUGCCGGAAGGUUAAUUGAUGGGGUUAGCGCAAGCGAAGCUCUUGAUCGAAGCCCCGGUAAACGGCGGCCGUAACUAUAACGGUCCUAAGGUAGCGAAAUUCCUUGUCGGGUAAGUUCCGACCUGCACGAAUGGCGUAACGAUGGCGGCGCUGUCUCCACCCGAGACUCAGUGAAAUUGAAAUCGCUGUGAAGAUGCAGUGUAUCCGCGGCUAGACGGAAAGACCCCGUGAACCUUUACUAUAGCUUUGCACUGGACUUUGAAUUUGCUUGUGUAGGAUAGGUGGGAGGCUUUGAAGCGUGGACGCCAGUCUGCGUGGAGCCAACCUUGAAAUACCACCCUGGCAACUUUGAGGUUCUAACUCAGGUCCGUUAUCCGGAUCGAGGACAGUGUAUGGUGGGUAGUUUGACUGGGGCGGUCUCCUCCUAAAGAGUAACGGAGGAGUACGAAGGUGCGCUCAGACCGGUCGGAAAUCGGUCGUAGAGUAUAAAGGCAAAAGCGCGCUUGACUGCGAGACAGACACGUCGAGCAGGUACGAAAGUAGGUCUUAGUGAUCCGGUGGUUCUGUAUGGAAGGGCCAUCGCUCAACGGAUAAAAGGUACUCCGGGGAUAACAGGCUGAUACCGCCCAAGAGUUCAUAUCGACGGCGGUGUUUGGCACCUCGAUGUCGGCUCAUCACAUCCUGGGGCUGAAGCCGGUCCCAAGGGUAUGGCUGUUCGCCAUUUAAAGUGGUACGCGAGCUGGGUUUAGAACGUCGUGAGACAGUUCGGUCCCUAUCUGCCGUGGACGUUUGAGAUUUGAGAGGGGCUGCUCCUAGUACGAGAGGACCGGAGUGGACGAACCUCUGGUGUUCCGGUUGUCACGCCAGUGGCAUUGCCGGGUAGCUAUGUUCGGAAAAGAUAACCGCUGAAAGCAUCUAAGCGGGAAACUUGCCUCAAGAUGAGAUCUCACUGGAACCUUGAGUUCCCUAAAGGGCCGUCGAAGACUACGACGUUGAUAGGUUGGGUGUGUAAGCGCUGUGAGGCGUUGAGCUAACCAAUACUAAUUGCCCGUGAGGCUUGACCAUAUAACACCCAAGCAAUU
rnacentral:rRNA from 1 species